rnacentral:rRNA from 1 species
AGAACUUAGCAGAGAUGCUUUGGUGCCUUCGGGAACUCUGAGACAGGUGCUGCAUGGCUGUCGUCAGCUCGUGUUGUGAAAGUGUUGGGUUAAGUCCCGCAACGAGCGCAACCCUUAUCCUUUGUUGCCAGCGGUCCGGCCGGGAACUCAAAGGAGACUGCCAGUGAUAAACUGGAGGAAGGUGGGGAUGACGUCAAGUCAUCAUGGCCCUUACGAGUAGGGCUACACACGUGCUACAAUGGCGCAUACAAAGAGAAGCGACCUCGCGAGAGCAAGCGGACCUCAUAAAGUGCGUCGUAGUCCGGAUUGGAGUCUGCAACUCGACUCCAUGAAGUCGGAAUCGCUAGUAAUCGUAGAUCAGAAUGCUACGGUGAAUACGUUCCCGGGCCUUGUACACACCGCCCGUCACACCAUGGGAGUGGGUUGCAAAAGAAGUAGGUAGCUUAACCUUCGGGAGGGCGCUUACCACUUUGUGAUUCAUGACUGGGGUGAAGUCGUAACAAGGUAAGCGUAGCGAG